AGUGAACGCUGGCGGUAGGCCUAACACAUGCAAGUCGAACGGCAGCACAGUAAGAGCUUGCUCUUACGGGUGGCGAGUGGCGGACGGGUGAGGAAUACAUCGGAAUCUACUUUUUCGUGGGGGAUAACGUAGGGAAACUUACGCUAAUACCGCAUACGACCUACGGGUGAAAGCAGGGGAUCUUCGGACCUUGCGCGAUUGAAUGAGCCGAUGUCGGAUUAGCUAGUUGGCGGGGUAAAGGCCCACCAAGGCGACGAUCCGUAGCUGGUCUGAGAGGAUGAUCAGCCACACUGGAACUGAGACACGGUCCAGACUCCUACGGAGGGCAGCGGUGGGAAAUUUUGGACAAUGGGCGCAAGCCUGAUCCAGCCAUACCGCGUCGGUGAAGAAGGCCUUCGGGUUGUAAAGCCCUUUUGUUGGGAAAGAAAAGCAGCAGGUUAAUACCCCGCUGUUCGGACGGUACCCAAAGAAUAAGCACCGGCUAACUUCGU
rnacentral:rRNA from 1 species